rnacentral:rRNA from 1 species
GACGAACGCUGGCGGCGUGCUUAACACAUGCAAGUCGAGCGGUAAGGCCCUUCGGGGUACACGAGUGGCGAACGGGUGAGUAACACGUGGGUGAUCUGCCCUGCACUUCGGGAUAAGCCUGGGAAACUGGGUCUAAUAACGGAUAGGACCACUGCCUGCAUGGGAGGUGGUGGAAAGCUUUUGCGGUGUGGGAUGGGUCCGCGGCCUAUCAGCGUGUUGGUGGGGUGAUGGCCUACAAAGGCGACGACGGGUAGCCGGCCUGGGAGGGUGACCGGACACACUGGGACUGAGAUACGGCCCAGACUCCUACGGGAGGCAGCAGUGGGGAAUAUUGCACAAUGGGCGCAAGCCUGAUGCAGCGACGCCGCGUGAGGGAUGACGGCCUUCGGGUUAUAAACCUCUUUCAGCACCGACGAAGCGCAAGUGACGGUAGGUGCAGAAGAAGGACCGGCCAACUACGUGCCAGCAGCCGCCGUAA